rnacentral:lncRNA from 14 species
GAUCAACUGUUCCACUUCCUUUUGCUUGAGGACUCUGAUCACGGUCUUUCCAUUCUCUCUUGUUAGUGUGGCGAUUUCCACUAGAACACAAAUACACAUUUGUGUCAGAGGCAGGGGAAGAACAAUGCUAGUUUGAGGCCAGCUUGGUCUACAGUGAGUUCAAGGCCAACCACUGAU